AGGUGGGACGUGGGCCAGGAAGGGUACAGCAGCUGUGAGAGAGCUGCACAGCUCCAGGUUUUCAACAGUGGCCUGUCCCACGCGUGGAGGACAUUUCUGAAGAGCCGGCUGGUUGGGUGGAAGAGGGCGCUGUGACUCAUCGUCCUCCAUCCAGUCUCUAAGGGAAGUCGGAUGCGCCCCCAAAGAAGCAUUCAGCUACCCGUUGCAGAAAGGCAUUCGUCAGGAAAUCAGUAUACUUAAGCUAACUGAAAGGGCCUCUCGGGCAUCCUUCAGGUCUUUUGAGCAAUGGAAGAUAGGAGGCAGAAAGUCCUAGAGUUAAUCUCUAGCUUUCUAUUUGAAUGAUGAGAUGGAGACAGCAGCGCUGAUGAAGAUCAAACAACUUACAGUGUAGAAACUACUAUAAGAACCUGUAGUCUUGCUAUUCAUUAUAUACAUAGUAUGCGUCAAUAUACCAGAUUGUUGUCAAGUUCCACUGCUGGCGUAAUAGGCUCAGGAAAGAGCCAAAUAUUUGUAAGAGAAUUCAAGUCUCCAUAAUCUUUAUUCUACUGUUCUUGUCAUGUUUCAUCUCACUGUAGCAUGCAGCUGGUAUUUAGAUGCGAGUGUUCCACGGUAAUAUUAGAGCAAAAGCAUUAGACACACUAUGAGCUUUUAUUUUAUCAGACUUUCCAUUUCUCUUUGUUUAUGUCAGUUUAAACACUCUAAUAGGAAACUAAACAAAAUGGGAUGGUGUUGCGCUACUCUAACAUGCUAGUAAGCAUCUAUUUAUAUCAAUGGUUCUACUCACUUCACAUGAAACUGUUCUAUGAGUAACAACUUAAUAACAUAAGUAAACUUUCCCAAUUUAGCCCUAGACAACUAGUUCUAAGGGCUGAUACAGUUAAGAGGAUAAACAUAAUUAUGGUUUACUCAAAUAAGCUAUGUUUAUUUCAAUAACAAUGUAAUAUUAAUGUUAUGAAGGUAUGGAAUAUGCCAUGGUAAUAAUGAGGAGCAGGCAAGAAGCCAUGCAACAAAAGAUGAGAGGAGGGUUUUUUUUCUGUAUUUUUGCAAAAAUAACAUUUCCUCUGCCAUUGAAAUAAGGGCUGUAGCAAAAAUCUCUCCUCUUCAGACCUCAUUGUUCUGCAGGUCUAGAGAUUUGAGUUUUAUGUUAUUAAAAAGAGGUUAUAAAUAUUUAUUUGUAGUCCUAGAAGGUCCAGAGAUACUGCACUUCAAUUUUAUGGCUAUCACAAAUAAUUAUUUGGGCUGCUCUCAACAAACUGGAUUUUGUUGUCUCUCUGAGUCCAUAUUGGUUGGAUUCACAGUAACCUAACAUAUUUCAGAAAUGUUUAGACCAGUAUUUCUUUAAUCUGAGAGUUAUCUACAGAAUAAAUGAAGAGGUGACAUACUAUAAAGGUUCUAUUAGCAUGUGCUUGAGAUCACCUAUGAAACUUAUUCAUGAGGGAUGGAGUCACAAGUAAUACUGCUUUCCAAAACUCAUGCUUUUAAGUCUUUUAUAUCACACUAUUGUAGGCCUUAUAUUCUACAUAUAUUACAGAGAAAACUGCCCCAGGAUUAAAGAGUUUUAGAAACAGUUAUUCUGAACAUUUUCUUAUAGUCAUUUAACUGUAAAGCUAUGCAUACAAGUUAUCAAGAAUCCAGUGAUAUACAGCACAGAAGGAACCUUAAAAACAUGAACAAAAUUGACCCAACAUACACUUUGUUUGUAAUUGCAAAAAUCUUUGAAGUCCACUUCUCCAAGAUCUUCAAAAGCAAACAGAAAAGGUUGUAAGUUAAUUUUAAGAAAUCUAAAUAAUGACAGGACUUUAGAGAAGUAGUUUUAGGCUUUAAAAAGGUCGGUCAAUAUAUUGGAUCCUCGCAGCCUCUAAGAGGGGAAAGUUUCCCCCUCUCUCUCUCCCUCGCUCUCCUUUUCCAUUUCCCUCCCUCUGCAUCUCCCUUCCUUUCUCUCCCUGUCUCUUCCUCAUAAAACUUUUGUUUUGGAAAGUCAUGUUCAGUGGACAGAAAUCAAGCAUAUCAGUCAAAGUCUUGAUAAAUACAGGAAUCUCAUAGCCAAACAAUUUAUUACAGUAAGCUUCAAUUUAUCCUGUUGAUAUCUCAUCCUGUUUCAGUGAUUGCCUGAAUUCAGGUAUCCUUACUCAUAGAUUUAUAGGCAUGCAUCUCCUACUGAAACAUCUGUAACAUUAUCAACUCACUUUCUUUAGCUUUUUCAGAAAACUUGUCUAGAAAGAUUUACUUAAAAAGUUAAAUCACAUAGCCUCACUGACUCAACUGACUAAGUACAACAACUUUUUCAUCAUCAUAACAAUAUCUAUGUGACAUCUAGCUUAGCAUCAUGAAUUAUGGGGUAAAGGAUAAACAACCAUUAAGAAAUUAAAGGCCCACAAAGGUGCAGUUUGGUAAAGGAUAAAAAAAACCCCACAGGGUAUGUAUAAUCAGAUCUCUCUCCCCUGCAGAGUAAUUAUUAUCUUUCUUUCAUGAGCGUCAAAGACCUGGAGCUUCUCAGUGCCUCAGGCAAGUGAGUUUGAAGGUCUCCUUCAUGACUGAAUGGAAGAUAGUAAUCAGAAUUUAGGUUGAGAUUAUUUAUAGAACAUUAAAAAAAGUUUUAUGUUGGAGCUGAUACAAACAGUCACUGUAAUCACAGUUAGAAAAUUUUACUGUAUUAUUUGUAUUCAGUGUGCCAUUGUCUGUUUACUUUGGUUUAUGUUGGCACGACACGCCUUCUUUCAUGGAGAACUGGACUAGCUUUGCCUAAUACAGUUAUCCCCAUUUAAUUUGUGUAGUCUUCAGCCUGUAAUAAAUGGAAGCCUGUGUGGAAGAACAGUGAAAUCUGGAUAAAGAUGUCUUUACAAUCCCAAGAGAAAUAACUUAUUCUUAACUAAGUUUUCAUUUCCUGAGACUGAUUUAUCUUUGCAAGUAUAAUAAUUUGUAACAGAUUGAGAAAAAUUAUGAUAAAUCUAUGCAUUGUUACUUAAAACAUGUACAGCCAAUAUCCUGACUGUGUUGUAAUUAAUUAAAUAUGUCUUUCUUUAUGCGAAUGGAAGGGAGUGGUAUUUUCAGUCCUUCAGAUUCCUCUGAGUGCAUUUCAUAAUUCCAUAUGUGGUAUGUGCCUGAACCAGAAUCUAAGUAAAUCAAAGGAGACACAAUGAAAAUGAAUGAAGUAAUGACAAUAGAGUUAUCCUGCACAGUUCUCUUCCUUUUUUGAUAGAUUAAGCUGAAGUUGGUGAAAAAAUUAUUUGACAUCACUAGAAAGAUUAAUGGUUAAAAAGCGAGCUAGCAAAAGGUGCUCAUCUUAAUUUGUGCUGAAGGAUACUUUUUUUUCUCAAUAAGCAGAAACUCUUUAAGUUUUACACCUGGUCCCUGAAGAUUGCUUAUUAUUUCUAUUAAACUCUUAUUGAUUUCUAGUUCUGGUCACACCUGUGCAUUGCAUCUCAGCUUAAAUUAUGUUGUAAACAGUGACACAAACAAGUAACUGCAUACUAUUUAUAGGUAACGUUUCAUAAUUGAGGUCUUGAGACCUUUGUGCACUGCUGCAGUGAAAAUAAUAAAUAGCAGUGUGUUAACUGCAUAGAACAGGUAUGUUCUGAGGUGCAGGGAUCUGAAAUGCUUUUUCCAGCUGACUUGUAGAACGCUGUCCGUGACAACCAGUGUUGCUUUUGGCCUGCUUUCUGUUGACCUGUGAUUUGUUUAACGUGUUCAGGUGGGAGAGUAGCACCCAGUCAUGGGUCACCUACAUUUUAAAUAUUUACCUAUUUGCGUUCAAAACUUAAAGUAGCUGGAGUGAAAACAGCAUGGAAAGGCAGUUUCUAGGAAUAUAUUAUUGUGUUAUCAUUCCAGAGUACUGAGACUUUUAGUGUCUCACUGAGACAGUGUGCCACUGGCUUAGUCUGCAUUUUCCUCUUCUGCUAGUACACCAAAGACAGAUAUUGUCCUCUUUGGGGACAGUAGGUCUGGGAUUAAAUGGAUGUUUUUGCUCCACUCUGUAAAAUCUUUUGUACCCAUAAGGCUAAGAAGUGUUGCUCUUUUUAGGUAUAGCAGAUGUUUACAUAUAACUUAGAAACUUUGGGGAUGAAAAGCACUAUGUGAAUGUAUACUUCCACUUAUCUUCACAAUGAGCUUAAUGUAGUGUGAUAAAAUCAUUGCAUUAUAUUAAUGUACUUUUGUCUUAGUUUCCUAACUAAAUUAUUCUAAGGAAGUUUCUGAACAACACGUGAUUGUUGUUCUCAGCCAGCCAUAAAAAUGAUACUGAAAUUCUAAUUGGAGGCCAUUUUAACAUUCCCUAUAAGCAACAUGAAUAUUGGCUUCAUUUAUUAAUUGUAACUGAUUAGCCACAAGGCAAACAUUUAAUUAAACCUUGAGAGACAAUAACAUUGCACAUAAAUUAUCCAUUUCAGAGCACAUAGGUCUUUACAUUUCAUUAAACAUAGUUUAACCAAUAACCACACAUCUUAAGCUCAAUCUCUGUUUGAACAGGUUUGAAGUCAGGAAGUGCCCCAGUGCACUGUUUUUUUCCAGUCGUCUAUUUCUUGAUGCAUUUUGAGUUGUAUUUACUUACUGCUUGUUCAUGCUGCUUUCCCGAUUAGUGAGACCAUCAGUCAUAUCAUGGCUGUGACUAUCAGUUGUAUCAUCCGUCCUACCAAAUUAUUACUUUUUAAAUUAUUUCAGAAUAUUAUGAAAGGUACAUUAGGUGCUCAAGAGCUUUUUAAAAGCAAAGAUCAAAACAACUGCCAUGUUAUAUAGCUAUAUUUUGCAGAUUUUUGCUUUGAAUUAUUCUUGUCCCUAUGCAGCUACUUUCUUUUCUUCUAGAACUGACUUUUUUUUUCCUACCAGAAUACGUGUUUAUUGUUAUGUGUGUUUUUCUGAACACUGCCGUUAUAUUAAAUGCAUGUUUGAGUAUGCAGUUCAGACGUAAGCAGCAAGAUGACUGCUUAACAAAAUAGUAUGAGUCUUAAUACCCAGUUAUUCCUAAAAGCUCCCACACUUAACAUGAGUUUGAAGGGACUAUAAUCUGCUCUGUGAAGUAAUUUAAGAAGUAAGAACACCCACAAAGUACUCAUGGUCAUGUAUGAGCUUUGUGGAUGGGUACUUUUUCUACAGCAUAUUUUGUCUACCCACUGCAUUUUCUGAAUUAUGUAGAAUUAGGCAAAAC